rnacentral:tRNA from 1 species
GUACUAAUAAUUUAAAUAAAAAUGUUAGUCUUGUAAACUAAUCUUAAGAAAUUUUUCUUUUAGUGCU